GCCAGGCAUGGUGGCACAUGCCUGUAAUCUCAGUGGCUUGGGAGGCUGAGGCAGGAGGAUCACGAGUUCAAAGGCAGUCUCAACAAUGGUGAGGCCCUAAGCAACUGAGUAAGACCCUGUCUCUA
rnacentral:sRNA from 1 species